rnacentral:piRNA from 1 species
UGGGCCAGGUACAGAGAUGAGAAGUGGGU